rnacentral:rRNA from 1 species
UACGAAGGGGGCUAGCGUUGCUCGGAAUAAGUGGGAGUAAAGAGUACGUAGGCGGAGUAUUAAGUAGGUGGUGAAAUCCUGGAGCUCAACUCCAGAACUGCCUUCGAUACUGAGAGUCUCGAGUCCGAGAGAGGUGAGUGGAACUGCGAGUGUAGAGGUGAAAUUCGUAGAUAUUCGCAAGAACACCAGUGGCGAAGGCGGCUCACUGGCUCGGUACUGACGCUGAGGUGCGAAAGCGUGGGGAGCAAACAGG